rnacentral:lncRNA from 1 species
CGGGAGGGCCUCUGCCGGUCCCGGGGCGUGACACGUGCGCCCGAGGGAGGCUCUCGAGGACCGGUCCCAAGUCGGGGAGACCGGUCCCUCCGCGCGAAUUCUGCCCAGUGAGGGCAGUGCAAGGAUGGAAAAGUUGAGGGGUUUAAGUGCAAAUUGGCCAUCAUAUGAGGGGUGUAUAUGGGAAAUUACCCUCUCUCCCUCUCGUUCUCAUCCCCUCACUCCCUCUCAUCACUCUCCCUCUCUCUCUCUAGAAAGAGAAGAAGAACAAGAAGGAGAGGAAGGAAAAGGAGAAGAAGAAAAGGAAGAAGAAGAAGAAGGAGAACAAGGAGAAGGCUUUAAACAUCUCCC